GUAGGCGCUGAGCAACCUCUCGAACGGAUGUCUUACUAUCAAGAAACUAAUGCUGUCGUUUAGGAACUUGUUCAACUCAUCGGCCGUGUGUCUGGGAUAUUUCUGCCUCGCCAGAGAAACAGCCUGGCAGAUGUUGGAUCAGUUUUGCCAUGAGCAUCGAAUGUUUUAUUAUAUAAGGAUGAUAAUGUAAAGAGCCGACUAAAGACAGAUCUUUAUCUCUCUGAGAUAUUUAAACUGCUGCUAAGACUCCACUUAUGGAAAAUUUAAAGAUGCAAAAAUACAGAGAAUGCACGUAAUAUAUAGAAACAUAAAAUAUUCAAAGAAUUGUACUCGUAAUAAGUAUUACAUAAUAAAUGUGAAUAUAUAAUAUUUAACAA